rnacentral:rRNA from 1 species
UGCAUCGAUGAAGAACGCAGCGAAAUGCGAUAAGUAAUGUGAAUUGCAGAGUUCAGUGAAUCAUCGAAUCUUUGAACGCACAUUGCGCCCGCCAGUAUUCUGGCGGGCAUGCCUGUUCGAGCGUCAUUUCAACCCUCAAGCCCCCUGGGCUUGGUGUUGGAGAUCGGCAAAACGGCCCCCUCGGGGGUUCGCGCCGUCUCCCAAAUCUAGUGGCGGUCUCGCUGUAGCUUCCUCUGCGUAGUAACUCACCUCGCACUGGGACUGGGCGCGGCCACGCCGUUAAACACCCCACUUCUGAAGGUUGACCUCGGAUCAGGUAGGACUACCCGCUGAACUUAAGCAUAUCAAUAAGCGGAGGA